rnacentral:rRNA from 1 species
CCAGAGACUAGGAUCCACAUCUAAGGUAGGCAGCAGGCACGCAAAUUACCCAAUCAUCGAAGAGGGAGGUAGUGACGAAAAAUAACAAUACAAGACUCAUCCGAGGCCUUGUAAUUGGAAUGAGUAUACUUUAAAACCGUUCCCGAGGAUCUAUUGGAGGGCAAGUCUGGUGCCAGCAGCCGCGGUAAUUCCAGCUCCAAUAGCGUAUCUUAAAGUUGUUGUGGUUAAAAAGCUCGUAGUUGGAUUUCGGCAGGCACAGGUUGGUUUGAAUCGCUUCAACACUGACUUUUUUGCCUGUGUGUUUUGCCAGAGUUUGACAGGUGAUCUUAAUCGAUUGUCCGUUGGAGCUGGCAGGUUUACUUUGAAAAAAUUAGAGUGCUCAAAGCAAGCUUGAUUGCUUGAAUAUUCGUGCAUGGAAUAAUAGAAUAGGAAGUCGUUUCUAUUUUGUUGGUUUUCGGAGAUUGACUUAAUGAUUAAUAGGGAUAGUCGGGGGCAUUUGUAUUCAAACGACAGAGGUGAAAUUCUUGGACCGUUUGAAGACAAACUACUGCGAAAGCAUUUGCCAAGAAUGUUUUCAUUAAUCAAGAACGAAAGUUAGAGGUUCGAAGGCGAUUAGAUACCGCCCUAGUUCUAACCAUAAACGAUGCCAGCUAGCGAUCUGCCGGCGUUUUUUUUUCUGACUUGCAGGGAGCUUCCGGGAAACCAAAGCUUGUGGGUUCCAGGGAAGUAUGUUGCAAAGCUGAAACUUAUAGGAAUUGACGGAAGGGCACCACCAGGGUGGAGCCUGUGGCUUAAAUGG